AAAAUGUGCGGUGAUGUCGGGCCGGGGGACAACGUGCUGCUUGCAACGCCGCCUUGUUCUUUUGAUGAUGCAUUUGGCACCUGGCACUGAAACAGGCCCCCCACUCCCCUCUCAAGUCCGACAGCGCCUUGGCAAUGCCCUCGUCCUCCCUAUGCUCUUGUUUUCUGUUGUCAGCAUAAUUAUUGAGCCUUCCAUCGAUUCUUCUUUUGGCAUUGACUUUGCUUCUGUCUUUGCCUGUGCUUUUGCUUGUAGUUAAUUUGCUUUUGGUAAUUGAGCGUUUUACCCACUUUGACCCCUCCACCCGCCGAAACCCGUGGAUGACGCAUGCGAGUGAAAAGAGAAAACAACAAGAACAUUUGAAGGAAUUGUGUAAAGAGAAAACAACAAGAACAAGGAGGAAACUUUGAAAAGAGAAAACAACAAGAACGCUAAGAAACUACAACGAAAUUUGAGCAAGAAGCAGGGAGAAAAGCAAGCAGGCUGCAUUAAAUAGAAGCUUGCCCCAAAGAAACUGUAACGCAAAGGAGACUAAGAAGCAGGACAGAAGGCAAAGCAUAUUUACAUUCACAUGCAUGACUCAUGUUCACAGCAGGACGUCGUGACAUGGAAGAGAAGAGAGAAUAGACAGGAGGUCAUGUAGGAAAAGAGAAGCGUGGUGACAGCGGUGAAACGCGGCACAGCUGUCGAGAGGUGGGC